rnacentral:rRNA from 2 species
GAGGGGCUUGCUCCUCAUUUAGUGGCGCACGGGUGAGUACGCGUAGAUAAUCUGCCUGAUGAUUCGGGAUAACAUUUCGAAAGGGGUGCUAAUACCGGAUAAGCCCACGGGAACUUUGGUUYUUGCGGGAAAAGGGGGGGACCUUCGGGCCUUCUGUCAUCAGAUGAGUCUGCGUACCAUUAGCUAGUUGGUAGGGUAAUGGCCUACCAAGGCUACGAUGGUUAGCUGGUCUGAGAGGAUGAUCASCCMCACUGGAACUGARACACGGUCCAGACUCCUACGGGAGGCAGCAKUGGGGAAUUUUGCGCAAUGGGGGAAACCCUGACGCAGCAACGCCGCGUGAGUGAUGAAGGCUUUCGGGUCGUAAGGCUCUGUCGGAGGGGAAGAAAUGGAAACGGUUAAUACCCGUUUUUCUUGACGG